ensembl:lncRNA
UAUUAAUCCGAGUCAUUUGCCGACCGUGUUUUUGGACAGGAGCACAACACAUUCCAUCCAACCCUGUAGGCUACUUUCCCUAAUCAUGUGUCUCUAUAUAGUCGCCGACACCGGAAACAGCUGUGUAUCCUAUUAUUCCUAGCACUUGGAUAACUAAGUUUUGGCAUUUUAAAGGUGGAUCAGUGUAAUAGUCUAUAUAAAAAAAUCUGUAUGAAAAAACACAUUUUUCACAACAACCGGCUGGAUGAUGCUGUGCAUGUGUGCGUAAAGUCUACAUUUUCUUCUGAACUUGGCGAUAAACGUCAGCUAUUCAAGUACUAAAGGAGUGGAACCACCAUUUUUCUGCUGGACCAGGAAGAAUCAGCUGUCUCUCUGUGGACCAGGAAGAAUCAGCUGUCUCUCUGUGGACCAGGAAGAAUCAGAUG